GAGUGAACGGCUGGCGGCGUCGCGUUAACACCAGUGGCGAGUCGAACGAAGCGCUUAAAUGGAUUUCUUCGGAGUUGAAGGUUUUUGUAGGACUGAGUGGCGGACGGGUGAGUAACGCGUGGGUAACCUGCCUCAUACAGGGGGAUAACAGUUAGAAAUGACUGCUAAUACCGCAUAAGCGCACAGUGCUGCAUGGCACAGUGUGAAAAACUCCGGUGGUAUGAGAUGGACCCGCGUCUGAUUAGCUAGUUGGUGGGGUAACGGCCUACCAAGGCGACGAUCAGUAGCCGGCCUGAGAGGGUGAACGGCCACAUUGGGACUGAGACACGGCCCAA
rnacentral:rRNA from 1 species